rnacentral:lncRNA from 1 species
GACAAAUGUCCUGUUCUUUCUUCAUCAUGUCCUUCAAGAAGUUGUCAUUUGCUCCUUUUCUGUAUUUCCUGUGACUUCCUCCCUGCUGGCGAGUGCCUUGUAUUUUAUGCUUGUGUUUCUGCAACUGCUUUCUGGCCCCCCACUCUUUCUGUGGCUGCUGAGCCUAGUGCCGCUCACAGGUCUGCCUUCUGCAGUCUGGUCAGGCUUGGCCUCCGGACUGGAGUCCAGGGUGCUCAUGGUAUUCCGCUCCUGGUGGCCAUCCCUUUCUUCCCUGUGCUCCUCUUGGUGCCUCCUCCCCCUGCCAGCCACAUGAUUCUUCCUGCUGCCCUCUGUAGAAAAGGGCCUGGCUCACUUCCUGCCUCUGGUGGACUACUGGCCUCACAGGGUCCACUACUUGGGUUGCUGAGUUCCCUGUAUUCAGUCUCCUGCCAACGUGUCUGCCAUGCUCUGGUCUCUUGUGCAUACAUGAUGCAGUUGGAUGUGGUCCUGGGCCUGCAGUGGGAGCCCCCUAAAAUGCACUGUAAUUGCUCUAUAUGCUUGCCAGGGAAAAAAUGCACUGUAACCAGGAGUUCAGGACAGGCGCUGGGACAGGCCCUGGGCCCCAGUCUGCAGGUGCACUGGGUGUUGGCAUGGCAUGUCUGGGCACCUCCAAGGUGGCGUGGAGGAGGCCGUGUGGCUCCCUGGCCCAGGUCCCAGCCUCCUUCCUCCCUCUAUAGUCACUCCCUGGAUACCCAGCACCGUCGUCUUGGGUGCCUCUGCAGGUGCUAUCCAGAGCCCUUGUCUUAUUGCCUUGUUUUUCUGUGACUCCUCUCUCCCGCCAACUUGGGAUACUUGUCUGUGAAGCCCUUCCCCAGCACCCCCUUCUCCGCUCUCCUGGAGCAUGUCUCUGUGCCUGGAGGUCACCGCGCCUGUGUCCUCACCCCUGCUGAGUGCUGGGACACAGGGUAGGCAAGUUUUGUGGCCCAAAUAUAUCAAUAAAAUAUGAAGAGGAAUGGUAGGGGUAGUCCUGGUCCCUUCCACCUCUGACAUAUGUAGUCUUCUGCAGGUCAGGCUGUUUGUGUGUGUGUGUGUGUGUGUGUGUGUGUGUGUGUGUGUGUCUGUCAGAGAUUCACUCUUGUUGUUUGUUUGAGACGGAGUCUCUCUGUGUCGCCCAGGCUGGAGUGCAGUGGCGUGAUCUUGACUCACUGCAACCUCCACUCCUGGGUUCAGGCGAUUCUCCUGCCUCAGCCUCCCUAGUAACUGGGAUGACAGGCAUGCGCCACCACUCCUGGCUAAUUUUUGUAUUUUUAGUAGAGACGAGGUUUCACCAUGUUACCCAGGCUAAUCUCGAACUUCUGACACC